rnacentral:rRNA from 1 species
AUACGAAGGGCUCGAGCGUUAAUCGGAAUCACUGGGCUUAAAGCGUACGCAGGCGGACGCGCAGGCAUCUUGUGAAAUCCCUCGGCUCAACCGAGGAACUGCUUGGUGAACCGCGCGUCUUGAGGCAAGUAGGGGCUGUCGGAACGCUAGGUGGAGUGGUGAAAUGCGUUGAUAUCUAGCGGAACACCAAAGGAGAAAUCAGACAGCUGGGCUUGUCCUGACGCUGAGGUACGAAAGCGUGGGGAGCGAACGGGAUUAGAUACCCCAGUAAUCC